rnacentral:rRNA from 1 species
AUUGAACGCUGGCGGCAGGCCUUACACAGGCAAGGCGAACGGCAGCACGGGUGCUUGCACCUGGGGGCGAGGGGCGAACGGGGGAGGAAGACAGCGGAAGAUGGCGGGGAGUGGGGGAGAGCCCGGCGAAAGCCGGAUUAAUACCGCAUACGAGCUACGGAUGAAAGCGGGGGACCUUCGGGCCUCGCGCUAUAGGGUUGGCCGAUGGCUGAUUAGCUAGUUGGUGGGGUAAAGGCCUACCAAGGCGACGAUCAGUAGCUGGUCUGAGAGGACGACCAGCCACACUGGGACUGAGACACGGCCCAGACUCCUACGGGAGGCAGCAGUGGGGAAUUUUGGACAAAGGGCGAAAGCCUGAUCCAGCAAUGCCGCGUGUGUGAAGAAGGCCUUCGGGUUGUAAAGCACUUUUGUCCGGAAAGAAAUCCUUGGCCCUAAUACGGUCGGGGGAUGACGGUACCGGAAGAAUAAGCACCGGCUAACUACGUG